UAAAAGAAAGAAACAACUUACUGAAAAAAAAUAGUGUAUAAUUAAUAAAUUAAAAGUUAAAAAUAUUUAAAAAGUAUCCCUAGUUCAUUGUUUGUGGUGUCCCACACCAAUGAAUCAAGAGCUGUAUUUCCGUCACCAUCUUCUUUCGGUUUUGACCCUUUUCUAAUAACAUAUUGUCUUCUCUAACGCGCGUCCCAUGUUUUAAUUUAAUUAUGAGUCCUGAUUAGCAUCAGUCCAAGUUGAUGCUACAGUGCAUCAGUCUGGUCUAAUAUGGGUUCUAUAUAAAAAAAAAAAAAAAAAAAAAAUUUAUAUGGGGCCCACAUCAGACCCAUGCUGAUGCACUGUAGCAUCAGCCUGAGCUGAUGUUUACAAUUACCGUUUAAUUAUUCCUCAGGUCCAUUACAGUGCAAUGCACUUUUUUUUUUUUUUGGUAAAACAACAAAACUGAGAAAUUAAUAAAUGCCUAAACAAAUGACUAAAUUAAUUCCCUGAAAUUUUCUAAUUUGAUGCAAGUGAUCAUCCUUCAGUCCAAUUCAAGAAAAGGAAUAACAUGCAUGUCUUCUCGUUUAAGAAAUUUCCCGGAAGGAGAAAAAUAAUUAUACGACCUCUUCUUCACAAGUUUUUUUCUUUUACUUUAUUUGAACUUUUCAAGUAAAUUCAAUUUCUUUGAAAUAAAUAAUAUUUUUAUACAAACUUCAUAAUUUUUUUUUUCCGGAUAUUUAAUUAUUUUUUAGAGUAUGAUAAAUAAUAUAUGUAGACUAUAGGCGACACGGAAGGUGCUGAUUGUUGUUCUUCUUGUCUGUUGUUGCUUGUAAAAACGAAGUUGAAUUCUGCUUUCUUGCUGUUUUCUCUUCUCGUUUCCUACAAGAAAUCUCCAAAUCUGUACCUUCCUAUUUUAAUUUGGUUCUUUUAUUUUUUUUUGUCUCCAAAUCUCCAAAUCUGUACCUUCAUAUUCACUAGAAGUUACAGCAAAAUCCUGAUUAACAAAAAUAAAUAACUAAAUAUAAAAAUAACAAACAAAAAAAAUCACUUUUUUUUUUUUCUAUUCCAGAUGGGGAAAGGGGGAAACCAAAAAAAAAAAAAAAUUCCCUUAACUUAUAUAUAUAUUUUAAUUUUUGUCUUUUUUUUUAAGGGAUUAGAGUAAAUUUCCUUCGACCUGAAUAGGAGGAAAUUUGUAUCCUUAAUUAAAUGGGUCUUUGUAUAGAUUUGAGGCAUGUUAACAACACUGGAUAAUAUUUGAUUAAAACAAAAAAAAAAAAGUGACAAAUACAAAUAUACAGGUGAGAGUGAGACAUUCUUGCAAAAGGCCAUUCAAGAGCAAGGCAGGGGUAGAGUUUUGGAGACGAUACAUGAGAUUCAAGAGAGCCACGAUGCGGUGAAGGAGAUGGAGAAGAAUCUAAAAGAGCUACACCAGGUGUUCCUCGACAUGGCCGUCUUGGUCCAGGCCCAAGGCGAGCGAUUGGACGACAUUGACCUCCACGUGGAGAGAGCUAAUUCGUUCGUGAACGACGGAACCCAGCAGUUGCAGGCUGCCAGGGCAUACCAGAAGAACUCCCGGAAAUGGCUGUGUUUUGCUACCAUAAUUUUGCUGGUGAUCGCAUUGCUUGUGGUGCUUUUUAUGGUCAAGC
rnacentral:precursor_RNA from 1 species